rnacentral:rRNA from 1 species
GACGUAGGGAGCGAGCGUUGUCCGGAUUCAUUGGGCGUAAAGCGCGCGUAGGCGGUUUGGUAAGUCGGAUGUGAAAUCCCGAGGCUCAACCUCGUGACUGCAUCCGAUACUGCCCGACUAGAGGUAGGUAGGGGAGAUCGGAAUUCCUGGUGUAGCGGUGAAAUGACGCAGAUAUCAGGAGGAACACCGGUGGCGAAGGCGGAUCUCUGGGCCUUACCUGACGCUGAGGCGCGAAAGCUAGGGGAGCAAACAGG